CAAUAUGAACCUAAUUUAUAACUUUUUCGAUUCUUUUAGACCUACUAUUAAAUCCUAUUGAUUAUAUAAAUUAAUUCACAGCAUUUCAGUUUCCCUAGUAUAAACUAUGUGUCAUUUGGUUAAAAUUUAAAUUGCAAUUUAUUUUUUUACAACCACACAUAAGUCAAAUAUUAGUAAAUAAAAUUGAGGGUUGUCAGUUUUAGAACCAAAAUUCUCUAAUUAGAAUAAAUCACUGCCAUGUAAUUUAGGUUUAAUUUUAUUACCUUGUAAAAUUUCAUACUCGGGUUCUAUUCCGGUUUUGUAAAAAUACUUUAAUAAAUAUUCAACAUACUUCUUUUUUAUUCUUAGAACGGGAUAAAAAUCUGUUUAUAGGGACAGUUAUAUAAAAUUAUACUUAAAAGUA
rnacentral:rRNA from 1 species